rnacentral:rRNA from 1 species
GAUGAACGCUGGCGGCGUGCCUAAUACAUGCAAGUCGAGCGAACAGACGAGGAGCUUGCUCCUCUGACGUUAGCGGCGGACGGGUGAGUAACACGUGGAUAACCUACCUAUAAGACUGGGAUAACUUCGGGAAACCGUAGCUAAUACCGGAUAAUAUAUUGAACCGCAUGGUUCAAUAGUGAAAGACGGUUUUGCUGUCACUUAUAGAUGGAUCCGCGCCGCAUUAGCUAGUUGGUAAGGUAACGGCUUACCAAGGCAACGAUGCGUAGCCGACCUGAGAGGGUGAUCAGCCACACUGGAACUGAGACACGGUCCAGACUCCUACGGGAGGCAGCAGUAGGGAAUCUUCGACAAUGGGCGAAAGCCUGACGGAGCAACGCCGCGUGAGUGAUGAAGGUCUUCGGAUCGUAAAACUCUGUUAUUGGGGAAGAACAUAUGUGUAAGUAACUGUGCACGUCUUGACGGUACCUAAUCAAAAAGCCACGGCUAACUACGUG